ensembl:lncRNA
CAGAAAGAAAGCCAGCUCCACAGAGACCUGCUUUAAUAGAUGAGAUUUCAUUGUCUAAAGGUUCUCAAGGGCCCAUGCAAAAGUCAAGACAAGGCUCUGCUGUUACUAGUUUGAAUCCAUUUGAGGGUGAUGAAGAGGUAGAUGACACUACAAGUACCAAAGCUGUCUCUGCAAUAUGGCCACUGCCUGGGCAGCUAAGUGUUGAGAUGGAUACUGUUUCUCAAAUCAAAACCAAAUCUUCAAAGACAGCCCAUGCUCCAGCUCCACCUACAAAGAACGUCCACACACUUUGUACUGACACGGGCCAUAAGGUGACAGUAUCUGAUAUAGAAGAGGAAAAAGACUGUGUACUUGUUCAGAAAACUUUAAAUGAAGAAGCUGUACAAGAGGAAUCCGGGAAGAAGGAUGCUCCCCCAGUCCCUUCACGAAGACUUCAAUCGGUGACACCUCUAAACCCUGUGCAUCAGGUACCUGUAUCAGCUAUUCAAGAGCAAAAGGAUAAAAAAUCCUCAGGGGAAAUCGUCAACAAUCAGGGAAAAGAAAAUGUCAAAGACACUGGACCAUAUGCACUGCUAACCCAAGAAGAGCUCAUCUCUUUGGUGCAUAAACAAGAGAGCCAGUUGCUGGAGAAAAGCAAGAAGAUAUCAGAACUAGAACAGUACAUUGAUAAUUUGCUUGUGCGGGUCAUCGAAGAGGCUCCCAAUAUCCUCAUGACCAUGGCUCCAUUAAAGUAGGCUUUUUGCUGAUGAGCACAAAAAUUGUAAUGCUUCUCUUAAAAUGAAGAACUGUAUUCCAGUUUCACGCAAUAAUAAUGGCAAUCAAUUUUCUAUAUAUUUGUUACAUUGCUGUGUUUCUAUGAUGUAAUUCAC